GCCGGCAAUUUUUUUUCUUUCCUUCCUCUUCUCUCGUUUUUUUUCUUUUGGGCCUGUCCCCCCUUGUCACGGACGCAGACCCUUAGACAAUACCGUGACACCUGCUCUGUCACUUUUGUGAAUGAAAGACAUAGGAUGUCAAAGGGCAUAUAAAUACAUCUAGGUAAGGGAGAAAUAUAUCUAGGUAAGGUUUUUGUACUUGUAGAAUUUGAAGAUCAUGACUGUACAGAUUAGAUAGGAUAAUUAGAUACUUAAAAAUGCACUUUAGUUAAAACAAAGAAGUUCUAGAAGAUGGACAGAAAUCAUGUAGGCUGUUUUUUUUAGUUAUUUAGUGAGCUGCUGUUUGAAUUGUUCCAAUUCCAGUGGAAGAGAAUGAGAUGAGGUAAAGAGUAUCCUUAAAUGACAAGAAAUUUCCCACUUUUUGGUUUUGGUAAACUUUGUGUUUAUGGGACUGGUACACAACGAGAAAGUGAAACAAAAUGAAAAAGUUCUAUGCAAUGAGUAGCGGUGCUGCAAGGUCAAAACUACUGGACAACUGAUUCAGACAUAGCAGAGGCUUCCAAUUAUAUAUAACAAAAAGUCGAUCUUACAGUAAUUUUACUGGUUACCUCUAUGCCUUUUAAUAGAUGAGAACUUCAAUGAUCCAUGUGGCACUUUGGGACCCAGUUGUUGUUUUCUCUGAAAAGGAUUUAUGCAGUCAUUAAAAUGUUUUAGAAUUCUUUGUAAUCAUAUCUUCCUCAGCUUCUUUCAGUUUAAAGUCUUUACCUAUGCUGCCCGUUAAUUUUGUGCAUGUGUGUUAAGUAGUUAUAUUUGUGCUUGUGUAUUUAUCCAAGUUCAUGUCAUUCUCACCUUCUUACACAGCAAGCACACUGCUUUGUGAAUGUGAUUGAAUAAACCUUUGGUUUAGGGCAUCACAGACAUUUUAAAAUUCAUCACUGAGCUGAAUUUACUUUUCACGAGUCUGAAGUUCAGAAUGUGGCUGAGAGAAGGGAAAAAUGUGACAGAUGUUGUUCCUCGAAGUGUUAUAGACCAAAGGAAGAACACUUGGGAAUGUGUACUGAAAGCCAGCAGCACUCAUCUGCUCUGCACCAUCAAACACAACAAUUCUGAAUGAAUUUCACUUGUAUACAUGUUUACAUUACUGUUUGUGUGUUAUCUUUGAAGUUCUUCCCAUGGUAGCUCUCACUCCUUUAUGUGAGCAUGUCAAAUGUGUCCCUGAGUGUGAGGGAAGAGGAGGAAAGGAGAGAAAUUUCACUCUACCACAUGACAGAUCCCUAGUGCAGAGCUGCAAUGUAUUUUGCUUGGCUCCUCUAGAUCAAGUUGCCUGUUGGGGCUUUGUCUGCAAGGGCAGAGGAGUUGCAAGAAAACUCAUGUCAGCAGCAAACGCAGUAAUAGCUUGUGCUACCUGCUUCUAGUUUCUCCAGAUUUUACCUCUUUCUCAAGUAUAUCCAUCUAUGUUUUUCAAAUCUAAGACCGUCCUAGAUGCACUUUUGACAAGCUGCAAUGAGAUGUCUCCCAUCUGCAGAACUCUUCAGUGCACUUAGCAACAGAGCAUACAAGUUCUGGAUCCUCUUUGGUGUGGUCCUUAAUCCUGGUGUGCCAGUAUUGAAGACAGCCUGUUCUCUAGCUAAGGCUAGCUUUAAAAAUCAGAAACAAACCAAACAGCCGUUUCUUUGCACACCUCAUCCCAGUGCCUGCCACAACUGUCAUAGAAACACUGACAUGCAAAUAAAGGCUCUAGAAAGAGCCCUUUCUGUAAGCAACUGUUUGGAUGUUACUUGUAAAUACCUGUUUCAAUUCAGUGUUUGUUGGACAACUUCAUGUCUAGAUGCUGACCUUAAAACAACAUAGGGUUUUAUGGAGACUUGCAAAGACUUGAUGUAUUUUAAAAUUAAAUGGUAUUUUAUCCAACCUUGUGUGCUGCUCUCUGCUUCAUCCACUGACAUAGGUGUGUCACAUCUUCUUGACUAGGGUAAUGCAUUUACAGUGCUGCUUUGUAUACUGCAUGUUAUGUACUGUAUAUGUAACAUAAUAUCCUAGUUCUGAAAUUUUUGGAAAUGGACUCGUGUUUCUGUAUUAAUUCAACAAGCAAGUUAGGCUAUUAAGGGAAUUUAGACAACAUUUUACUUCAAAAUCUGUCAAAUAUCAAAACGUUGGUGUUCCAGCCUGACAUGUAGAACAAGAAAUUCAUUGUUCUGGGAUUUAUUUAAGUUACAUAAUUGCAAUUUUAAUUGUUUGCGUAUUUUUUUACAGGGCUGGCAUUCAAGUGCCAUGGUGAUGGCUGAUACAAACUGCUAAAAUGAAUGCACAGAAGGCUUUCAGUACAACUUACUAUGAAUGGAAUACUGAUAAAGAAAAAAGAUAAAUCUUUCGGCCCUUUCACUUUCUGCUUUUAUGACUGAGAGGACUAGGAAGACCCUAGUCUCAAGGCACCAUAUAUUGCUCACACCCUCAGGCAUGAGGAAUGCCCUUGAUGAACUUCAUGUAACAAGAGUGAUGAAUAUACGAAUGCUUGUCAGGUCUGCUUAUUCUGAGGCAAGCCAGCUUCUGUGGCAAUGUUAUUUGAUCAGUGUGCGCAGAGGUGCAAAAAACAGAAAUAAGGGAGGUAACUUCCGUGCCUGUUUAAGAAAGAGAGGAGGUAAAAUAUUUUCAAAAUGUUUAUUGUGGCUCACUAUUAAUACAUGUAUAUGUAUCCCAAUAUUACAUAUAUCUAAAGCAUAAUAAACAAUGACCUGAAAGCAUG